rnacentral:ncRNA from 1 species
GUAUAAACUGUGAUAAGGAAGAGUACAUAUGUUAUUUAAACACAGAGAGAGAAUGGUUGCUGUAAGUUCUCAUGAGAUGUAUAUGGAAUGUAGCCUUUGAGUUUUUAAUCGAAAUCUUUUGUAGAGUGUAGAAUUAAACGGAUGGUCUACCGUUAAAAGGACAGUAAUAUCGGUUUUUAACCUGUAUUAUGAUGAGUGUGUAUAUAAUUUAUACAAAUUUAGGUGGUACCGCGAUGAUAUCCUCUUCGUCCUAUUA